rnacentral:rRNA from 1 species
CAUGUAGGCGGCCCGUUAAGUGCCUUGUGAAAUCCCUCGGCUCAACCGAGGAAUGGCUGGGCAUACUGGCGGGCUUGAGGCAGGUAGGGGCGCGAGGAACUCUUGGUGGAGCGGUGAAAUGCGUAGAUAUCAAGAGGAACGCCGGUGGUGAAGACGUCGCGCUGGGCCUGUCCUGACGCUGAGAUGCGAAAGCCAGGGGAGCAAACGGGAUUAGAUACCCCGGUAGUCCUGGCCGUAAACGAUGUCCACUAGAUCGGGGACUCUUUGACGGGUUCCUAGUCGAAGCGAAAGCGUUAAGUGGACCGCCUGGGUAGUACGGUCGCAAGGCUAAA